UUAAUUAAAUUCAGAGAUAAAAGACUUUCAUUAAUAAAGUACAUCAUCUAAAUAAACUGCCAUAAUUGAUAAAAUACAUAAAGUAGAGUCAAGACGUCUGAGCCCACCAGUCAAAACACCUCCAGUUUUUAAGAAUGCAUCAUAUUGAAUGAUAUCAUCAUGUUUUCCCUGUGAAAACUCCUCGGGUGCAUCAUCACUCAAACCCAAUGAACUCAGCUACAUUCCACCGCUGCGUGUUUGUUUAAGUCAUAAUCUACCGUAUGUUUGCUUUGUUACCCAGUGUGCCAAUCCAGAGAACGAGCUAUUUUUAGAGCAAAAGCUUCAAGUAAAUAUGUUUAUUAAAAAGCACAGGAGAGAGUUCUCUCUGUAAUCCCACAAGGAAACCACAGCAUUACUGCAGCAAAGUCAGACAACACAGAAACAAAUACAUUUACAAACGGGCAAGUGAUAUACAAAUUACUAAAAAUAAAGAAAAGUUUUAUUUGAAAACGGCCACACAAGUCACCACAAUGACUCAAAUGUGAAGCGUCACCAUCUCAUUUCAGCGGUGUAGUCAUAGUAAAAGGUCAGGACACAUUAGCUUUCGUGCUACGAACACUGAAAAUACCAUUUCCUUAUUUGUCACUCACACUUCCCGUCUCAUGCAUGUCACCAUUACAUGAUAUUAGCUGCUGUGAAUAUGUGUAAUUAUGUGUUUUCAUUGGAUGCAAUAAUACAAAAAAGGGAGAGAAAGAUCUAUUAUCACUUCCUCUGUCUUGUCAGUGAUGUCCAACACCUGACUUUAAGUCAUGUGGACACGAUGUACUUCCUGUAAAGAUUCGUUGGUUAUUUUAUUCUAUUUUUGGUCACAUGUGAGUGAUCAUGUCGAACGCACAGCUCAUCAUGUGACUGUACCGAGCAUCUAAGGAAGAAGCACGACAGAUGGCCUUGAAGGAAAAAGUUUUUUUGAUAAUGAAGGUUUGUUCUCAGAUCAGGUACAACCGUUGCAUCAUUUGCAAAAACAAAAUCAACAAAUCAACAGACAAAGGUCAAACUAUCCAGAUAAGACAUGUGUAGGAGGGCUGUUCUGACAAACAUUACCUUUAUAAAAUGCAGGAAUUGAUACCCUGAAGAUUAGAGAAGUGGUCCCAUGGCUGGAAAGUAAAAUAUGAAUCCCCGGCAAGAGGGAAACUUCGAGAACAAUGUUUUUCAGCCUCCCUCGAGAAAAAACAGUUGGGGUGCCCUUUAGGAAGGCACCUUGCCUUGCAACUUCUGCUAAAAGGCCGACCGUAGAUGUGGAACAGAGGAAGAGAGAAAGUCCUCAAAGACCAAAGGUUCAUUGGUAACCAGUGAUGGCGUCAUGACAUACAGUACUUGAUAGCUUAAAGGAUCUAACUACGUGGUACUCAGGAGCAAUUCGUAAAACCGGAGGAUUAAACAAAAACUACUGAAUGGAUCUUCGCGAAACUACAAUUGAGGAUGGCUCUCAGCCCAGAAUAGACCCCACUGACUUCAGAUAAAGAGGCGGAUCCAUGAUUGUGUUUCUUUGAAUUUUUUUUUUAAGCAACAUUAUGUUGAAAUUGAGAUUUGCAUAACAGUUCCUGAGAUCAUCACCAAUGUCAUAAAUGCAAAUCCCAGGUCUGGAACAAUUUGUCAGAUGUAAUGUAGGUGAUAACUACAAACAAAUUUCAUGACGUCAUGACAAAGUUGUGUGUUGAAAACUUGUGUUGAAGUAAACAUGUUUGUAACGCUGUGAUCUGACCCUCUAACUGAUGUUAAGUCAAGUGAUUAGACUUGAUUAUACUAAAGGGCUUCGGUGGAGGUAUGCACUCUACCUACUUCCAUUCAGGUUUAUCUCAUCUUAUAGGUUGUUUCUUUCCAAACUGACCUUCUGAAAAAACACAUAAAAAAACAUUUUCUGAUCCGAUGCCACAAUCACAAUGGAGGACAUCCUUUUACUGAGUCAUACAAAACCUUUUACAAAUCACUAUUGAAACUAAAUGAAACUAAAUCCAUUUUAUAAUCUGCUUUGGUUGUGGUUUGAUGAGGUUUUGGCACAGAAAGACCUUUGUAAGGUUGAGGGAAACAUUGUGGUUUGGAUUGAAAUUACUACUUUGGUAAGGUCCGAGGACCUCUGCUGGUAUGGUUACAAAAAUAAAUACAUGGUUAAGGUUGCAAUAACCUCGGAGGGCUUUGUCAUAUAAGCAUGUGUUGUUUUGAAGCAUUUGCUGGAAUGACUGAUUCUGCUGUUUUCCCUGGGAGGACAGUCUUACAACCCCUAACUUUGCUUUUUUGACUAUUCUCAGUGCUGUUAUCGGCCUUUCCAGCUGUUUUUUUUUUUUUUCACAGAAGAGUUCUGAUAAACUCACCGUACAUGACCUGGCCAGCAUCUAACGGUGAGAGACUGUCAGUGUGGAUCCACCUGCAGGGUCAAAAAUAUGGUAUUAUACACUUUAAGUUAAAUAAUGCAAACAUAACUCCUGGUGAAUCAGGUUUUGGAAAACACAUAAAGACCCCUUCAAAAUAAAGAUGUCUGUAUUACAGUUCAGUGUC